CGUCACAGCUUAAUAAAUUUCCCCCCCCCUGUAUUAAUACCAAAAACUUUGCGGAACCCUACACCCUUACUGAAUACUCCUAUAUCAUUAUAGGACUUUUUAUGUUAAAACUAGUAACAAGAAGCAACUUCUCUUAUAUGCAAGCAUAAAUCAGGGCGAAAAACUCACUGAUAAUUAACAGCCAUAAAAUAAAGUAACACCAAACCAAGAGAAAUUUACUUAAGCAACUGUUAACCUAACACAAGAGCAUAAAAAGAAAGAUUAAAAAAAGAGGAAGGAACUCGGCAAACACUGAUUCCGCCUGUUUACCAAAAACAUCGCCUUCUGUAGUACAUAGGAGGUCCAGCCUGCCCAGUGACCCAGUUUAACGGCCGCGGUAUCCUAACCGUGCAAAGGUAGCAUAAUCACCUGUUUUUUAAUUGAAGACCAGUAUGAAAGGCAUCACGAGAAUCACACUGUCUCCCUUUUUUAAUCAGUGAAACUAAUCUUCCCGUGAAAAAGCGGGAAUAACCCUACAAGACGAGAAGACCCUUUGGAGCUUAAGACAACAGUAAAAUAUUGCUAUUUUCAACUAAAUCUACACCCAACAGCAUUUAUUUACCAGUCUUUGGUUGGGGCAACCAUGGAGUAAAAAAUAACCUCCAAGAUGAAGUGGGAUCUCCCUAAACAAAAAGCCACAACUUUAUGUAUCAGCAAAAUGACAUCAAAUGACCCAAUAUUUUGAUUAUCGAACCAAGUUACCCCAGGGAUAACAGCGCAAUCCACUUCAAGAGUUCAUAUCGACAAGUGGGCUUACGACCUCG
rnacentral:rRNA from 1 species